AUAUUUGUCAAUUGGGGCCACCCUGAUCCAGCCCUGCCGCGGGUGUGAAGAAGGUCCUCGGAUUGUAAAGCACUUUAAGUUGGGGGGAAGGGCCUUAGGUUAAUACCCUGAAGUUUUGACGUUACCAACAGAAUAAGCACCCGCUAACUCCUCUCCCGCAGCCGCGGUAAUACAGGGGGUGCAAGCGUUAAUCGGAAUUACUGGGCGUAAAGCGCGCGUAGGUGGUUCAGUAAGAUGGGUGUGAAAUCCCCGGGCUUAACCUGGGAACUGCUUUCAUAACUGCUGAGCUAGAGUACGGUAGAGGGUAGUGGAAUUUCCUGUGUAGCGGUGAAAUGCGUAGAUAUAGGAAGGAACACCAGUGGCGAAGGCGACUACCUGGACUGAUACUGACACUGAGGUGCGAAAGCGUGGGGGGCAAAC
rnacentral:rRNA from 1 species